rnacentral:rRNA from 1 species
AUUGAACGCUGGCGGCAUGCCUUACACAUGCAAGUCGAACGGUAACGCGGGGCAACCUGGCGACGAGUGGCGAACGGGUGAGUAAUACAUCGGAACGUGCCCAGUAGUGGGGGAUAGCCCGGCGAAAGCCGGAUUAAUACCGCAUACGACCUACGGGUGAAAGCAGGGGAUCGCAAGACCUUGCGCUAUUGGAGCGGCUGAUGUCAGAUUAGGUUGUUGGUGGGGUAAAAGCCUACCAAGCCGACGAUCUGUAGCUGGUCUGAGAGGACGACCAGCCACACUGGGACUGAGACACGGCCCAGACUCCUACGGGAGGCAGCAGUGGGGAAUUUUGGACAAUGGGCGCAAGCCUGAUCCAGCCAUGCCGCGUGCGGGAAGAAGGCCUCGGUUGUAAACCGCUUUGUCAGGGAAGAAACGACUCCAGGCUAAUACCCUGGGGUAAUGACGGUACCUGAAGAAUAAGCACCGGCUAACUACGUGCCAGCAGCCGCGGUAAU